UAUUUUAAAACUCCCCAUUGAAACAAAAUAAGGCAUUGCCUCACUGAUGCCUAUUUAAUAGGAUACCUUUGGUACAGAUAUAAGCAAAGAAAGGUUCAGGAAAGAAGGCCCAUGAGGCUGAGCAAAGCACUGGAAUUCCCCAUUCCUUCUAUCAAUUGUAGUUUGAUUCUCAAUGGGAGAAGUAGAUGUCAAGAAUUAAUAGUUAAACAAAGCAAGAUUUGGAGUCACGCAAGGUUGAAUUAAGAAACAGACAGAAUACUACUUUUUCACAUUAAUUUAUUAUAUCCAUGAUAGAUUUACAACCACAUCUCUAUGGGAAUGCACAGAAUCUUAUUUUGGAAACACAAUUAUGGUCUGAACAUUUUUUAGCUCAUCUAAUCCUAUCCAAAUUAUCAUUACAUGUGUAAACCCAUUUCCAUCUACACUCUGGCUACCAAAAUGAAAGAUAUGUUCUUAUUAAGGCUGUGCAGUGAAGAUCUCUCCUCACAGCAAGUACAGACAAGGUUACUUUAAUGAGUUAUGGGAAAUGUGCUAUUUGUGCUCUUGUACAUUCCAAAGUCUCUUCUGCAAAUCAAUCUUGAAGCACUGCACAACCCAGUCAAUGAUAUUAAAAAAUUAUCUGGGCUAUCCAUUAUACAGUCAGGUUUCAUGAAAUAAUAUACUUUUCUGCCAGCCUGGGGCACCCCAAGAUCAGCAGAAGGGCAGUGGACUUCCUAAGUCUCACACUGCCUGACCUAACUGCAAAGGAGGCAAGGCAGUUGUCCUUAGCUGAGAUGUACUUGUGUGGCUAAAGAAAUUAGGUUUAAAACACACACACACACACACACAAAACCCACAGCCCUAUGAGAGGUCCGAGUUAAACCCAUCGUGUCAAGUCAUGGCUAGCCAUCCUUUGCAAGACAAACCAUCACUAGCUGGAAACACGCCUCAUCCCAAACCAUGGUUUAUGAAGCACAUCACAUUCAUUCCAGCUCUGCACCGCUGGCACGGGAAUCUUGGCGGCAAUCAGGAGGUCAACGAAAGGAGACACCCAGUUGACAGGCCGGUCUCAGCCUUCAAGAGCCCGAGCCCAGCCAUACGCUUCCACCUCCGCCUCCCCCUUCCCACGGGGUCCGAAGGGAGCACGCCGUGCCGGAACACCGGGCAGGGCGAACAAACGGCACCCGUCGCAAGAGAAGAGGAUGGAAAACGAAUACAUAGCUCCCUCUGAAGAGAAGUCAAAUGUAAACAUACUGUUGAUUACAUUGUCUUAAAUCCAUACAAAGAGAGUGACAACUUUUUUGCUAUUUGCAGCAGGAGAUCAUGCAACUCUAAACAUAACUGCAGAUAAAUACCAUUUCUUAAAUGUGGUUAUCACUGCUCCAAAAACAUUUCAUCAAAAUUCAACCCAUUGAAAAGAUGCAUUCACCAUGUGUAUUACUUCCAAAGUAGCUUAAUUUCCUCAUUUUGCAGUUGUGACAUAAAGAGAAUGUAAACAUUCAUAAUUUUGCCUUAUGGAGAUAAUCGUCUUCUGUUUCGUGGUUUUAUUGUUGCACUAAAUGGGUGGUGGGGAUAAAAGAAGCAAUUAUCAAUUCGUGGAGGAAUAAAGAUGUCUGCUUCAGGCAGCAUGACCAUUUGGAAGAGCUGGAAUGGAAAUGAAACACUGAAGGAAUGGACUUACUAAGUACUCAUAAUAUUAAAGAAGUACCUCUUUCUGUGAAAGGGUGUAAAUGCAACUUUUGUCCUUGGAUGUCCUCAUGUUUGCCUUUGAUAUCCAUUUUUAGAUAUCCUGGCAACAUGAAUGAUGCUUCGGAAUUGGACAUUUGUGAUUGAGAUGCUGAAAGACAUUCUUCCCCAUUCCUGAAGAGGGGUUUGAUUUGGCUGGAAUGUAAUAAAAGAGACAUGCUACCGUGGCUCCUUACCUGAAUUUGCCUGGGCUAUAAAGAGCUAUGUUUGUAGAGCAGCUGUAAUCACUAAAACACUGUACAACAUAAGGGCAGCUUUCUCUGUGUACAUCUAUCACAGUGGUUCUCAACCUUUCUAAUGCCGCGACCCCAUAAUACAGUUCCCCAUGUUGUGGUGACCCCCAACCACUUAUAUAUCACCGGGUACCAGGGGCGUGACCAAAGAAAAGGGGGAAAAAUGGCGGACAGCCUUGUUUGGCGACCCCCGUGAAAUGGUCAUUCGACCCCAAAUGGGGUCCCGACCCACAGGUUGAGAACCACUGAUCUAUCAUCACACAAACUUGCUUCAAAUCUGCCUUUUCCUCCUCCUCCAUGGGGAUUUGUACAGGAAAGGAUAAUAACUAUUAGCUUGCAUUGCACAGGAUGAAUUCUUCUGUUCACAAUAUUACUUCAAGGUCCUAAAAAAACUAGAGGAGUUUUGCUUGUGGAAUUCCUUUUUUCUUUCUUUCAUUAAUGUCAAAUUUUGGCUAGAAAAUAAUGAAGCUGAAAAACAAAGGUUUGUCUGGAAUCUUCCUACUGAUGAAAUUAAAAGCCGAAUUCCAAAAUAGUAAUAUAACGUAUCAAAUCUCCCUUUGUACUAUUAUCUGUUGAUGGGAAAAAAUUAACAUUAAACUCUUAACAGCUGCCAUGGUCAUUAACAAUUUAUCCCAAUGGGUAAAGAAAGGAGUUUAAUAUUAAUUAGGAUUUUUUUUACAUGUGUAAACAAUUUUAUUAGGUGAGAUAGAACUUCAGAGGUAGGAUUUUGCCUGUCAUCUGUUGCUGCAGUGUGGUGGGAUACUUGCAGAAAACUAAUCUGUUGCUCUUUGUGCUGUGGUAGGUAGCCAGGUGCAAAGGAUAGGACAGCUGUGCCUUUUUAAAGGAGAUCAUAUAAUCAACUGCACUGCAGGUUCCUCUUUUACAAAGCUAUUACAAAAACAAUGUCUGUCCUUCUUCCAAUCACCUACGUGGAGAAGAUCAGAGAUGUCCAACCCUGGCAACUUUAAGACUUAUGGACGUCAACUCCCAGAAUUGACUGACUGAGGAAUUCUGGGAAUUGAAGUCCACAAGUAUUAAAGUUGCCAAGCUUGGACAUCCUGGAAUAGAUAUUUAAGGUGGCCACAGUUGCUUGUCAGCCUAAAACAUAUAUAUACCAUACAUACUUAGAAAACAAUACCUGUGCAGUUUCCUGGAAAAAAUCUUUCUAGGCACUACCUAAAACAUAGUUGCUAGGAUGCUGCUUUUGAACACAUACAGUCUAAUAUCGAAGUAUUUCAUGGAAAGAAACUCUAUUGAUUAAAGGUAAAAGGCAGCAGCCAUAUUUUUUUAAAAAAGUAGAAAUUAAGGCUUCUUUCAAGACAAGAAGAGGUACAGUCCCUUUCCAAGGUAGGUGCUGCCAAACACCAGAAAGGAAAUCCUUGCUCCAAUUAGCCAACAUCUGACUAAAAAAUGCUGGAAAGCUUUUACAGCUAUCACAGCAGGAAUAUCUUCUCAUAUUGUUGCAAUGCUGGAGAAGCAAAACUUGCUGGAAGCUUCCCUUCUUGACAUAAAUACAGCAUUGGAACUCCAUUCUCUGUUCAGUCUAGUAAAUUAAGAUGCCAUAAAGGACUUAAAUUCAGAGACUGGCAUUUUCUCCCCCUAACACAGUGCACUGGUAAUGGAAAAUUCUGCAAGCUGCAGGCCAGCACCUUUGAGAUACAUAUGGUGAAGGAUAUGUGCUUAUGGAAUCUCAGAGCUGGUGUUAAUCAUGAGUUUAUUUCAUGUCCCUUUUGCUUUUACAGUGGGACAGAAUCACCUAUUCCUUCCCUGGACAAACCAGAAACGGGACACUGGGGAUAGAACCACAGAAAUUGGUGCUAAUCCUUCCCUUAGAGGUGCACUUUAUGAUGCCCACUGUCAUUGGCUGAUUAUACAAAGAGAAGCGCCAAUGUUGUUCUGGUUACAAAACUCUUACAACACUAAAUAAUAUUGUAUAUUUACCAAUAUUCAGGGAAGAGGACUUUUUGAAAUAUAGGAAAUAAAACCAAUGAUCAUUGCUCUUUCCUUCUAAACUUUCCCUUGAGGAUACAAGAAAAUACUAUGUGGGAAUUCUCCCCACAUAUUUCCCAGGCCCUUCCCUUAAACAUGAAGAAACCCAAAUCAGAAUCAAUAGUCUGGAACUUAAAAGCAUCUUUCUUUUAGAUCAAAUGUACUGUGUAAUAGUAAUAUCAUUAAUAAUGACUCUAAUAAAUAGAUACAGGGAAGAGGGGAAAGCAUUAAACACACAAAGAUGGAAAGGUAGGGCUGGCACACAGAUUUACCAUAUACUCAUCUGUUCACUUCUUAAAAAGGUACAAAACCAAUUUUUCUUUCAAGUAUUAAAAAAUAAGUUAAUGAACAUUAAAGGAUCUAAAGUGACUACAGGGCCAGGAUAGGUCUUCUGCUUCAUUUCUGACGUGCAAAAAAAAAAAAAAA